UACGUAGGGGGCAAGCGUUGUCCGGAAUUAUUGGGCGUAAAGAGCUCGUAGGCGGUGUGUCGCGUCGGCCGUGAAAACCUGGGGCUUAACUCUGGGCGUGCGGUCGAUACGGGCAUCACUGGAGUUCGGCAGGGGAGACUGGAAUUCCUGGUGUAGCGGUGAAAUGACGCAGAUAUCAGGAGGAACACCGGUGGCGAAGGCGGGUCUCUGGGCCGAUACUGACGCUGAGGAGCGAAAGCGUGGGGAGCGAACAGG
rnacentral:rRNA from 1 species